GGAGGGACUGGGCAGGGCAGCCAGCUGGGCAGGAAAAGUCUUUGUGCCUAGCUUGCGUGGGGAAGUGUAGCUUCUCUCCCUCUUCCCUCUGUUCUCCGACAAGCGAGGGAGUGACUCAUAUGGUCUUUCUUUAAGGAGAGGAGAUUUCCAGUGUAAAAUGAUUGGACAAUGAGAUGGAAACCAAUCACGCAACUUUUUUUCUCUUUCUUUCCUUUGGUAAAUGUUGAUUUCCUGACUGAAUCAGCAGCACCAGCCACUCAACCUCUGCUGGCAGGUGGAUGACCGAGAGUAACCUCUGCGUAGCCCCAGUCAGCGGCAACCACCCUCCCGCCUCCUUAGCACAAAAGACAGCCGCAACGCAAAGCAAGCAGCUCAGCUCAGCCUGAAGCUCUGCAACCAGUUUUGGGGAGCAAGCAAUGGCCCUGGUUUGUGACCCCAGCCCCCUCCAUCCUCGCCAAGAUCCGGGGAGAGAGCAGAUCCACGGAACCAGAGCUACAGUGAGGUCCACCCCCGACCCGCAGCAAACGUACCUUUGGGAAUGGGCAGUAAACUCAGGUCAGUUUCCAGCAAUCCUUCUAGCUCCCUCCGCACUCCACGCCACCUCCACCUUCCCCCCACCCCCGCCUCCCAAAAGACAGAAGAAUGGAGAGAAUCAAAAGAGACAUAUACAGCCUCCAGCGUAGAGGCAUAUGAGGGAAAUAAGAUACACUGCAUUUCACACUUAUUCGUGGACUGAGGUGAGAAAAUGUUAUGGAGAGUUGGGUAUUUCCCCUAAAAGUCCAUAGAGCUGACACACCCUUCCCUGAACCAGAAUGAUUUGCACAUCUCCCACUCUCAAAUGCUCUCUCCAUUUCACGUGGCAAUACAAUCCCUGGCAGAAACGCAGUCCCUAUAUCUCUCCUCUCACAAUUAGAGCUGUUUUGUCCUCGAGAUAAUCUCGGGUGGUGGCAAAGUGUCCUCUUUCUCAGUCCCCAACCUAUUUCAGGUGGUUACCCGCCCAAUUUCUUUAUAAGAGGGGGGGGACUAGAUUAGCCCCAAUUAAUCUGAAGGACGCUGCCCCCGGGGCGUGGUCCUCCACCAUCAGGAUCCCAGAGUCCUCCCCACUUACCGCAUCUGUCGCGUAUCUUUUCAGCCACCGGCUGCAGGCUGCUACUACACUUUCUGACCGCCUCCCCCUUUGCCCACUUUGACUUCAUUCAUCCCCUUUCACCAAGACUCCGCCCCUAUUUUCGAGUGGCUGGAGCGGCUUCCAAUCGGACGAGGGCACAGGUCUAUGGCCUUACUGACAGUGACCAAUUGCAGCGCUGCUUCAGGAUCCUCUGUUUCCCUUCCCCCCCCCCAGCUGGCCGCAGUUUGAGCACCUGAAAUUGACAGUUUGGGAGGGCUUUGUAGAAGGGAGGUUGGCGGAUAUGGGUGAAGGAAAGUCUGUGGGAGAGAGUGGGUCAUCGAGAAGGCGUGGAAUAAAGGUGGGGAGGAGAAAAGGAAAACA
rnacentral:lncRNA from 1 species